AUUAGAGGUGGAUUUUGGAAGAGAUUGGAAAAAACCCAGACUCAUAAUAUAAAAGGAUCUUUUUAAAAACCACCACUCAGAUAUAAAUUACAUCUGCUGGAUCAGCAUCCUGUUGCUAUGUUGCUGAUAAACAGAAGCUGACUUCAUCACACAUGGUGGCGUCUCUUCAGACGCUAGCUCUGUACCUCCAAAGCAGUGCAACCAUCAUGCUCACGUACUUUCUCCUCUCCUGUGUGAGGCGGAAGAAGGACGUUACUGUUGUGAGCUCCCAACCUAGACGUCCCAUUGCUUCUGGGAGGCCAGAGUCAAGAGAAGUAUAAAAGGAACAGAGAAAUAAAAAUGAC